rnacentral:rRNA from 1 species
UCCCGUUGGGGGUUGGUAGUAGGAUAGCAGUCGAGCGGCAGCGGGAAAGUAGCUUGCUACUUUUGCCGGCGAGCGGCGGACGGGUGAGUAAUGCCUGGGAAAUUGCCCAGUCGAGGGGGAUAACAGUUGGAAACGACUGCUAAUACCGCAUACGCCCUACGGGGGAAAGCAGGGGACCUUCGGGCCUUGCGCGAUUGGAUAUGCCCAGGUGGGAUUAGCUAGUUGGUGAGGUAAUGGCUCACCAAGGCGACGAUCCCUAGCUGGUCUGAGAGGAUGAUCAGCCACACUGGAACUGAGACACGGUCCAGACUCCUACGGGAGGCAGCAGUGGGGAAUAUUGCACAAUGGGGGAAACCCUGAUGCAGCCAUGCCGCGUGUGUGAAGAAGGCCUUCGGGUUGUAAAGCACUUUCAGCGAGGAGGAAAGGUCAGUAGCUAAUAUCUGCUGACUGUGACGUUACUCGCAGAAGAAGCACCGGCUAACUCCGUGCCAGCAGCCGCGGUAAUACGGAGGGUGCAAGCGUUAAUCGGAAUUACUGGGCGUAAAGCGCACGCAGGCGGUUGGAUAAGUUAGAUGUGAAAGCCCCGGGCUCAACCUGGGAAUUGCAUUUAAAACUGUCCAGCUAGAGUCUUGUAGAGGGGGGUAGAAUUCCAGGUGUAGCGGUGAAAUGCGUAGAGAUCUGGAGGAAUACCGGUGGCGAAGGCGGCCCCCUGGACAAAGACUGACGCUCAUGUGCGAAAGCGUGUGGAGCAGACAGGAUUAUAUACCCUGGUAGUCCACGCCGUAUACGAUGUCUAUUUGGAGGCUGUGUCCUUGAUACGUGGCUUUCCGAAGCUAACGCCGUUAAAUCGACCCACCUGGGGGAGUACGGGCGGCAAGGCUGAAAACUUCAAAUGAAUUUGACAGGGGGCCCGCCACCAACGGGGGUAGCAAGGCGGGUUAAAUUCCAAUACAACCGUGGAAAAACCCUUAACUUGGCGCGUGGAAGUAGUCUUGGAAAUCCUUGGUGGAAAAUGCCUGCGAAUUUCCCUACGAGAAAAUCACAAAAUCAGGAGGAGUUUAAAUAGUCUUGGUCUUUUUCCUCCUCCCCCUUUGAAAAAUGGUUUGGUUUAAACCUCGAGGGCAGUUGAGGUUCUAAACCCCCCCGGGCCCUUUAUGUUUUGCACUACGCGUUUUUCACCCGGGUGGAAGCCGCAGGAACUACCACCACCGCCUGAUGUAUUUCAACCCCGGUGUAAUGGAGUUGUGAGUCGUGUUUAGCGGUUAAGGUAUUUGUCAUGUUGGGGCUGGUUUUUAAGGCGGCCCUGCGAGCAA